CCUACGGGUGGCAGCAGUGAGGAAUAUUGGUCAAUGGUCGGGAGACUGAACCAGCCAAGCCGCGUGAGGGAUGAAGGUACAGAGUAUCGUAAACCUCUUUUGUCAGGGAACAAAGGCGGGGACGCGUCCCCGGAUGAGUGUACCUGAAGAAAAAGCAUCGGCUAACUCCGUGCCAGCAGCCGCGGUAAUACGGAGGAUUCGAUCGUUAUCCGGAUUUAUUGGGUGUAAAGGGUGCGCAGGCGGUCUGUUAAGUCAGCGGGCAAAGCCCGGGGCUCAACCCCGGAACCGCGGUUGAAACUGGCAGUCUGGAGUAGGAGAGAAGUAUGCGGAAUGCGCGGUGUAGCGGUGAAAUGCAUAGAUAUCGCGCAGAACUCCGAUUGCGAAGGCAGCAUGCCGGCUCCACACUGACGCUGAGGCACGAAAGCGUGGGUAUCGAACAGGAUUAGAUACCCCAGUAGUC
rnacentral:rRNA from 1 species